rnacentral:rRNA from 1 species
UUCCUACGGGACGCAGCAGUAGGGAAUCUUCGGCAAUGGACGAAAGUCUGACCGAGCAACGCCGCGUGAGUGAAGAAGGUUUUCGGAUCGUAAAACUCUGUUGGUAGAGAAGAACGUUGGUGAGAGUGGAAAGCUCAUCAAGUGACGGUAACUACCCAGAAAGGGACGGCUAACUACGUGCCAGCAGCCGCGGUAAUACGUAGGUCCCGAGCGUUGUCCGGAUUUAUUGGGCGUAAAGGGUGCGUAGGCGGCCUGCUAAGUCUGGAGUGAAAGGUACCGGCUCGACCGGGACAGGCUCUGGAAAA